GUUAAUGUAGCUUAAUAAAUAAAGCGAAGCACUGAAAAUGCUUAGAAGAAUCACGUGAUUCCAUGAACA
rnacentral:tRNA from 1 species